rnacentral:rRNA from 1 species
GGCUCAGAACGAACGCUGGCGGCGUGCUUAACACAUGCAAGUCGAACGAGAAGUACGUAGCAAUACGUAUUGUAAAGUGGCGCACGGGUGAGUAACACGUGGGUAAUCUGCCCUCGAGUUUGGGAUAACCCCGCGAAAGCGGGGCUAAUACCGAAUAAGACCACGGGGACCAAAGUCCCUGAGGUAAAAGAUGGCCUCUAUUUAUAAGCUAUCACUUGAGGAUGAGCCCGCGGCCCAUUAGCUAGUUGGUAGGGUAACGGCCUACCAAGGCUAUGAUGGGUAGCUGGUCUGAGAGGACGAUCAGCCACACUGGAACUGAGACACGGUCCAGACUCCUACGGGAGGCAGCAGUGGGGAAUAUUGCGCAAUGGGCGAAAGCCUGACGCAGCAACGCCGCGUGGGGGAUGAAGGUUUUCGGAUUGUAAACCCCUUUCGACCGGAACGAAUCUCCUCUUGGUAAAUAAUCAGGAGGAUCGACGGUACCGGGAGAAGAAGCCGCGGCUAACUCUGUGCCAGCAGCCGCGGUAAGACAGAGGUGGCGAGCGUUGUUCGGAUUUAUUGGGCGUAAAGCGAACGCAGGUGGUUUGGUAAGUCAGGGGUGAAAGCCCACAGCUUAACUGUGGCACUGCCUUUGAUACUGCCUUUCUUGAGUGCAUGAGGGGGAAGCGGAAUUCCGAGUGUAGAGGUGAAAUUCGUAGAUAUUCGGAGGAACACCGGUGGCGAAGGCGGCUUCCUGGCAUGUAACUGACACUCAUGUUCGAAAGCGUGGGUAGCAAACAGGAUUAGAUACCCUGGUAGUCCACGCCCUAAACGAUGGGCACUAGGUGUGGGAGGUAUCGACCCCUUCCGUGCCGCAGCUAACGCAUUAAGUGCCCCGCCUGGGGAGUACGGCCGCAAGGUUGAAAC